rnacentral:misc_RNA from 1 species
UCUGGCUGAUCCCGCCCGGCCGGAGAUCCGCUGACAUGGGCGGCACCGGCGUCAUCGACCAUUUCCUCGAGGUCUUCACGCGCUACAUCGACGGCGGCUUUGGCCUGCUCGGUGGCGAGGUCGGCUUUAUCGCCACCACCUUGAUCGUCAUCGACGUGACGCUUGCCGCGCUCUUCUGGUCGUGGGGCGCCGACGACGACAUCAUGGCGCGCCUCGUCAAGAAGACGCUGUUCGUCGGCGUCUUUGCCUACCUCAUCUCCAACUGGAACAAUCUCGCUCGCAUCAUCUUCGAGAGCUUCGCGGGUCUCGGCCUGAAAGCCUCGGGCACGAGCUUUGCCGUCAGUGACCUUUUGCGCCCCGGCAAGGUGGCACAGACCGGACUCGAUGCGGGACACC